AAGGGGCUUCUCCUAGAAAGGCUGUGAGGGAGCAAACAGACGCAGGGGCCAGUGAAAGGGAGUGAAAAAAAGAAAGGGGCACAAUGACGGGUUACGAAGAAGAUGAUUUUAUCAAUUCGGCAAAACUGAUGGAAUAUUCUCCCUACGUACUACAGAGCAGCUGGGACAAAACGCGCAUGGGUUUUCCAAAGGACUACGACAUAAAACAGCCGGCAACAUAAGUGUGCACCGGUCGGCGUACAAACGUUUAGGCACGGAUGAUUUGGAAUUUCCCAAGACUUCUUAUCAAGAACAGUGCCAACAACUGGCUCUGAAACCAUUCUGUGAGCAGCUGAGUAGACCUGCACCCAUGAUGAACGAAAGCUCAUUUGCAUACCUCCCCUGGCAGAGAGACACUGGUGCUCCUGAAGAAGGCUUUGGGUCUCUCCUGCCUCAUCACUCUAAACCUCACCCAAAGAAUUACUUCCAGACAUUUUACAAUAUCAACUACACACCUCCGUUUUCUUAUGACCCACAACCGUCUAAAACUAACCUCGAGUAUUUAACGGAACAUCGUAAGUGUCACUCACAGUUCACUGACACGGCUGACUACCGUCGCCACAAUUUGAACACCUGGCAAAAUGACUCCGGAAUCUAUGCAAAGCCACGGAAACCUAAAGAGAAGACACUUGAAGGCUUCAUGUAGUGGUGUGAAUCCUUCUCCAACGAUGAGCUAAACUGCAACAUUCAGGGACGAUGGAGUGUUGCUGUGUGUCUAUUUUGUUUUAUGGUAGUCAAAAGAGCAUUUUUUGGUUUUUGGUUAAAUAAAAUCCUUUAUAUACCUU